rnacentral:tRNA from 1 species
GACGCUGUGGCCCCGGGGGGUCAAGUGGCCUGCAAAGCCGCUCACUGUGGGUUCGACUCCCACCGGCGUCU